rnacentral:rRNA from 1 species
AGUCGAGGGGCAGCACAGGUAGCAAUACUGGGUGGCGACCGGCAAACGGGUGCGGAACACGUACGUAACCUUCCUUUAAGUGGGAGAUAGCCCGAAGAAAUUCGGAUUAAUACCCCAUAAGAUUGUGGAAUGGCAUCAUUCAGCAAUUAAAGAAUUUCGCUUAAAGAUGGGCGUGCGGCUGAUUAGGUAGUUGGUGAGGUAACGGCUCACCAAGCCAACGAUCAGUAACUGGCGUGAGAGCGCGACCAGUCACACGGGCACUGAGACACGGGCCCGACUCCUACGGGAGGCAGCAGUAAGGAAUAUUGGUCAAUGGACGCAAGUCUGAACCAGCCAUGCCGCGUGAAGGAUGAAGGUCCUCUGGAUUGUAAACUUCUUUUAUAUGGGAAGAAACCACUUUUUUCUAAAGGUGUUGACGGUACCAUAGGAAUAAGCACCGGCUAACUCCGUGCCAGCAGCCGCGGUAAUACGGAGGGUGCAAGCGUUAUCCGGAUUCACUGGGUUUAAAGGGUGCGUAGGCGGAUUAGUAAGUCCGUGGUGAAAUCUCCGAGCUUAACUCGGAAACUGCCGUGGAUACUAUUAAUCUUGAAUACUGUGGAGGUUAGCGGAAUAUGUCAUGUAGCGGUGAAAUGCAUAGAUAUGACAUAGAACACCAAUUGCGAAGGCAGCUGGCUACACAGAGAUUGACGCUGAGGCACGAAAGCGUGGGGAUCAAACAGGAUUAGAUACCCUGGUAGUCCACGCCCUAAACGAUGAUUACUCGACAUUUGCGAUAUACAGUAAGUGUCUGAGCGAAAGCAUUAAGUAAUCCACCUGGGAAGUACGACCGCAAGGUUGAAACUCAAAGGAA